rnacentral:rRNA from 1 species
UACGUAGGGGGGCAAGCGUUGUCCGGAAUCAUUGGGGCGUAAAGAGCGUGUAGGCGGCCAGAUAAGUCCGCUGUGAAAUCUCGAGGCUCAACUUCGAGCUGUCGGUGGAAACUGUCUGGCUAGAGUCCGGAAGAGGAGAAUGGAAUUCCUGGUGUAGCGGUGAAAUGCGCAGAUAUCAGGAAGAACACCCGUGGCGAAGGCGGUUCUCUGGGACGGUACUGACGCUGAGACGCGAAAGCGUGGGGAGCGAACAGG